AUGGCACAGGGAGCUGGACAGGAUGGAAAUUCCUGCCAGCCCAGCCCAGCCUGGAAAUCUCUGAAUUCCAAGGGAAGAGGAUGCACAGGGACUAAAUCAGUGCCCAAAAUGCAGUCGCGGGGACCUGUCCCCUCCAGUGCCACUGGGACUGGGACCUGUCCCUCCCAGGGCUGGGAAUGGGAUUUAUCUCACCCCCAGUGCCAUCCCAGAGCUGGGAAUGGGAUUUAUCUCACCCCCAGUGCCAUCCCAGAGCUGGGGAUGGGAUUUAUCCCUCCCAGAGCUGGGAAUGGGAUUUAUCUCAUCCCCAGUGCUAUCCCAGGGCUGGGAAUGGGAUUUAUCCCUCCAGGGCUGGGAAUGGGAUUUAUCCCUCCAGGGCUGGGAAUGGGAUUUAUCCCUCCAGGGCUGGGAAUGGGAUUUAUCCCUCCAGGGCUGGGAAUGGGAUUUAUCCCUCCAGGGCUGGGAAUGGGAUUUAUCCCUCCAGGGCUGGGAAUGGGAUUUAUCCCUCCAGGGCUGGGAAUGGGAUUUAUCCCUCCAGGGCUGGGAAUGGGAUUUAUCCCUCCAGGGCUGGGAAUGGGAUUUAUCCCUCCAGGGCUGGGAAUGGGAUUUAGGGGUUGGGGGCUGUGCUGCUCUUCCCGAUGUUAUCCUGGAAAAACCGGUGCUCCCAACUUUCCCAGCCAACGAGCAGGAUCGGGAUCCAUCCCUUCCCUCCAUCCCUCCUCCCCACAGCGCUGGAAACCGAGUCAAACAAAGGGGAAAAAAAAAAAAACCCAAAAUAACCCUUUAAUUUAAAAUAUUAUAGGAUUGCGCAGGCUGGAUGGGGAAAAACUCGAAUCUUGGGUCUCUGGGUGUAUUAAUUUAUUUUUAUGCUCACUUACUUCCAGUUGGAAAAGGUCUUGGAAGUUUUGGGGACUCGACGUUGGUGUUGAUGGGCUGGGCUGAGCCCCAAAUCUCAGGCUGGUCCAGAGCAGCUGAAAAAAAUCCAAAAGGAACAUUUGAGAACGAUGAAAAACUCGAAUAUUUCCUCCCAAACACCCCAACAAUUGGAUGAGACGCUAAGACUCUGGGAAAAGAGGGCCCAG
ensembl:lncRNA